GACGAACGCUGGCGGCGUGCCUAACACAUGCAAGUCGAACGAGGUCCAGGGAAGCUUGCUUCCUGAAGACCUAGUGGCGAACGGGUGAGUAACACGUGAGAAACCUGCCUCGGAGUGGGGAAUAACUCGGGGAAACUCGAGCUAAUACCGCAUACCUUCACAUGAUCGCAUGGUCGAGUGAAGAAAGAAUUUCGCUCUGAGAGGGUCUCGCGGCCUAUCAGCUUGUUGGUGGGGUAACGGCCUACCAAGGCAACGACGGGUAGCUGGUUUGAGAGAACGAUCAGCCACACUGGGACUGAGACACGGCCCAGACUCCUACGGGAGGCAGCAGUGGGGAAUCUUGCGCAAUGGGCGAAAGCCUGACGCAGCAACGCCGCGUGCGGGAUGACGGCCUUCGUGGUUGUAAACCGCUUUCAGCAGGGACGGAAAAUAGACGGUACCUGCAGAAGAAGCCCCGGCUAACUACGUGCCAGCAGCCGCGGUAA
rnacentral:rRNA from 1 species